rnacentral:tRNA from 5 species
GGUCCCAUAGCUCAGUUGGUUAGAGCGUCGUACUAAUAAUGCGAAGGCCGAGAGUUCGAGCCUCUCUGGGACCA